ACGGAAGGCAGCAGUGGGGAAUAUUGCACAAUGGGGGAAACCCUGAUGCAGCGACGCCGCGUGAGUGAAGAAGUAUUUCGGUAUGUAAAGCUCUAUCAGCAGGGAAGAUAAUGACGGUACCUGACUAAGAAGCACCGGCUAAAUACGUGCCAGCAGUCGCGGUAAUACGUAUGGUGCAAGCGUUAUCCGGAUUUACUGGGUGUAAAGGGUGCGUAGGUGGUAUGGCAAGUCAGAAGUGAAAACUAUGGGCUCAACCCAUAGACUGCUUUUGAAACUGUCAAACUAGAGUGCAGGAGAGGUAAGAAGAAUUCCUAGUGUAGCGGUGAAAUGCGUAGAUAUUAGGAGGAAUACCAGUGGCGAAGGCGGCUUUCUGGACUGUUACUGACGCUGAGGCACGAAAGCGUGGGGAGCAAACAGGAUUAGAUACCCUGGUA
rnacentral:rRNA from 1 species